rnacentral:rRNA from 1 species
ACUCCUGCGGGAGGCAGCAGUGGGGAAUUUUGGACAAUGGGCGAAAGCCUGAUCCAGCCAUGCCGCGUGCAGGAUGAAGGCCUUCGGGUUGUAAACUGCUUUUGUACGGAACGAAACGGCCUUUUCUAAUAAAGAGGGCUAAUGACGGUACCGUAAGAAUAAGCACCGGCUAACUACGUGCCAGCAGCCGCGGUAAUACGUAGGGUGCAAGCGUUAAUCGGAAUUACUGGGCGUAAAGCGUGCGCAGGCGGUUAUGUAAGACAGUUGUGAAAUCCCCGGGCUCAACCUGGGAACUGCAUCUGUGACUGCAUAGCUAGAGUACGGUAGAGGGGGAUGGAAUUCCGCGUGUAGCAGUGAAAUGCGUAGAUAUGCGGAGGAACACCGAUGGCGAAGGCAAUCCCCUGGACCUGUACUGACGCUCAUGCACGAAAGCGUGGGGAGCAAACAGGAUUAGAUACCCUGGUAGUCCCAUGA